CGGUGCACACACAACUCACCCACACUCACAGUAAAGAACAGAAAGAAGGAAAAAGAAAGAAAAUGGAGUGAGGGUUGCGAGAGAAAAGGGUGGAUCCAAGAGAGAGAGGGAGAGCGCCGGCAAAAAAGGAGGCCGCGGGUUGCCGGUUCGUCCACGAGCCGCCUCUAGAACCGCGAAGAGAAGGAGAAGCUCGCGCCACCGUCAACCCGUCGCCGCUGUUCGUCCUUGCCGCCGCCAGUUGCGCCGCCGCGAAGAAGAGAUGCGCGAAAGAGGAAAGGCCGGUUCUGUCACCACCGUCGUGCCGUGCUCCAUGCCGUCACCACCAUUAUUCUGUCACAAGAGAAGGAUGUGCGAGGGAGGAAACAGAAUCGCGAGGGUGCUCAGCCACGGAGAGAGGAGACGCACGUCGAAUCUGUCGCCGCCGGUCCGCCCACCGCCAAACCACGCCGCCGUCCGUGAGGCUUUCUCCAUCACCGCUGCCGAAGGUCGCCAUCGGAGCCACUGCUCCACUUCUGUCAUUCUUCUUUUUCCGGUUGUUGCUGAGCCACUGAAGCCCCUGGCCACUGUCAGAGCUGCUGCCGAUUAAGUUUGGGGUGGUUGGCGUGUCGUUCUUUUAUUCCAGAAUUAGAAACCGGGCCCGCACGUCACGUUUGAGGCUGU